rnacentral:rRNA from 1 species
AUACGUAGGGGGCGAGCGUUGUCCGGAAUGAUUGGGCGUAAAGGGCGCGUAGGCGGCCCGGUAAGUCUGGAGUGAAAGUCCUGUUUUUAAGAUGGGAAUUGCUUUGGAUACUGUCGGGCUUGAGUGCAGGAGAGGUAAGUGGAAUUCCCAGUGUAGCGGUGAAAUGCGUAGAGAUUGGGAGGAACACCAGUGGCGAAGGCGACUUACUGGACUGUAACUGACGCUGAGGCGCGAAAGUGUGGGGAGCAAACAGGAUUAGAUACCCUGGUAGUCCACACUGUAAACGAUGAAUGCUAGGUGUAGGGGGUAUCGACCCCUUCUGUGCCGCAGUCAACACAAUAAGCAUUCCGCCUGGGGAGUACGGCCGCAAGGUUGAAACUUAAAGGAAUGGACGGGG